GACCUCCCUGUUGCCUCUCAUCCCACUUCUUGCUUCUCUUCCUCUCAUCCAUUACAGCCGCCCAGCAUGUCCUGCCUCCGGAUCUUUGCUCUUACACUUUGCUCUUCCUUGAAUUAUCCUCUCCCACAUAAUCCCUGGAUCAUUCUGCUGCAUACUUCAGAUACGCCCUUGAAAGCUAUCUUUUCAGGCAGAACUUCCGUAAAUCCCUGCAAUGGACUGAACUAUGUUGGACUGAACUGUGAUCCCUCAAAAUUCAUAUGGUGAUGUGACUACACUGGAGGGAGGGUCUUUAAGGAGGUGAUUAAGGAUAAGUGAAAUUAUGAGAGUAGAGCUCUGAUUUGACAGAGCUGGUCCCCUUAUAAGUAGAGGUAGAGACAUCAGAGCGCUUUCCCUACCACAUGAGAACACAGAAAGAAGGCAGCCAUCUGCAAGCCAGAAAGAGAGCCCUCACCAAACCCUGACCAUGCUGCUAAUCCAGACUGCUGGCUCCAGUACUCCCCUAGUCUCAGGAGAAAAAAGUGAGUCAUGCUUCUGAGAACAUAACUGUUACAAGGAGGAGAUUUGGAAUUUCAGAGAAUGAAGGGGACCCUUGGGUCUGCUCCAACAGACACAGGAAGUUGCACGUGUGUGGAAACUUCAGAGAAGCCAUCUGGUCACUGGAAAACCCUCUGCAGACAUCUUGGAGCAGCUGGGAUGCCUUGCUCCACCCAAGGUUAUUAUGACUUCAGUCUCCAGUGUCUCAACAAGUGAGGCUAUCUGGCCACUUCCCACACCCCAAAACUCUCAAGAGAAAGUGAGAUCGUGAGAUGUGUAUUUGAUUCAACAAGCAAUGGGGCUUAAUGAGAUAGAUUUACCUUUCUAUUUUCAAUAUAAAUUUGACCAAAACCUUCCUUAGCAUUCAGCUCACAUUUUUCUCUCUUGUUCAGAAACACGACAGUUAACCUGCGGAAGAUUUCUUUGGGGAACUCACUGUUCUCUGCGCACCUCAUUUACUAUAACUUGAGGUAAAGCUAGCUUAUUUCCACAAUGUUUAUGUCUGUCUGGGUGCAGUGAUUUAAUAUAUUCCUAAAUACUUUAGUCAGGUAACUCUUGGAAUUUACUCUCUGAUCACCAGUACAUAAUUUCCAAGUGACUUUGGGAUC
ensembl:lncRNA